rnacentral:rRNA from 1 species
UGCAUCGCUGGGCGCAGCCUGAUCCAGCAAUGCCGCGUGAGUGAAGAAGGCCUUCGGGUUGUAAAGCUCUUUUGUCAGGGAAGAAACGGCUGCGGCUAAUAUCCGCGGCUAAUGACGGUACCUGAAGAAUAAGCACCGGCUAACUACGUGCCAGCAGCCGCGGUAAUACGUAGGGUGCAAGCGUUAAUCGGAAUUACUGGGCGUAAAGCGUGCGCAGGCGGUUUUGUAAGUCUGACGUGAAAGCCCCGGGCUCAACCUGGGAAUUGCGUUGGAGACUGCAAGGCUUGAAUCUGGCAGAGGGGGGUAGAAUUCCACGUGUAGCAGUGAAAUGCGUAGAGAUGUGGAGGAACACCGAUGGCGAAGGCAGCCCCCUGGGUCAAGAUUGACGCUCAUGCACGAAAGCGUGGGGAGCAAACAGGAUUAGAUACCCUGGUAGUCCACGCCCUAAACGAUGUCUACUAGUUGUCGGGUUUUAAUUAACUUGGUAACGCAGCUAACGCGUGAAGUAGACCGCCUGGGGAGUACGGUCGCAAGAUUAAAACUCAAUGAAAUUUGACGGA